rnacentral:rRNA from 1 species
UUAGUCCGGAUUGGAGUCUGCAACUCGACUCCAUGAAGUCGGAAUCGCUAGUAAUCGUGGAUCAGAAUGCCACGGUGAAUACGUUCCCGGGCCUUGUACACACCGCCCGUCACACCAUGGGAGUGGGUUGCAAAAGAAGUAGGUAGCUUAACCUUCGGGAGGGCGCUUACCACUUUGUGAUUCAUGACUGGGGUGAAGUCGUAACAAGGUAACCGUAGGGGAACCUGCGGUUGAUCACCUC